CCAGAUCGCUGGGCGGCUGCUCCUCAUAUAUUUUGGGGGGAGGAAAGUCCGGGCUCCACGAAAACACGGUGCCGGGUAACACCCGGCAGGGGCGACCCUAGGGAAAGUGCCACAGAAAGCAAACCGCCUAACCAAAGUUAUAAAACUAGUUUAGGUAAGGGUGAAAGGGUGCGGUAAGAGCGCACCGCGUAAAUGGUAACACUUACGGCAAGGUAAACCCCACCGGGAGCAAGAUCAAAUAGGGGCGACAAGAUAAGGGCUGAGUAAUAUCAAACUUUAUCAAGCGUGUUUUCGCGCAAGUCGCUCGGGUAGGUCGCGUGAGGCAUCCGGUAACGGGCGCCCCAGAUGAAUAGCCGUCCGUUUUUCUAUUAGAAAACUGGACAGAACCCGGCUUAUAGGCGAUCUGGCAUU
rnacentral:RNase_P_RNA from 1 species